CGCGGCGGGAAAGGCGACGACGGCAAGGCGACGGCGGCGGGCAAAGCACAACGGCGCCGACGAGAUCCUCCUCCGGCGACUGGUCUCCGCUGGAGGUCCUCUGGCGGCAGCGUGGUUUCCGGUGUUUAGCGGCGAGCGCGCCAUGACUUCUAAUGUUCUUCAAACUCCAUAACACUGAGUUUAUGGCAGCGGAUGCUCAUCUGUUGGGUCGAGCAUUUAUUUAUAUGUGUGUUCUUGUUCGAGAAAAUUGUAUGACAAAAUUGCAUGACACUGAGUUUAUGUUAAAGACGAAGUUUUUUAUUUA